UGUACAUAGAAAAUUUAGAAGAAUCUACAAAUAAAUUAUUAUAAUUCGUAAAUCAGUUGAGAAUACUAAUUAUCCAGGAAUAAAUGCAAAAAGUUUGGCCCAAGGCCUCUGUUAAUGGAUUGAAUGUUUGUGUACCCCAAAAAUUCAUAUGUGGAAACCUUAACCCCCAGUGUGGCUGUAUUUGGAGAUGGGGCCUCUAAGGAAGUAACUAAGGUUAAAUAAAGUCAAGAGUGGGGCCCUGAUCUGGUAGGAUUAGUGUCCUUAUACGAAGAGACUCAAGAGGGCUCUCUUGCUCUCUGCUCAUUCUCAGAGGAAAGACCAUGUGAAGACAGAGUGGCCAUCUGCAACCCAGGAAGUGACCCUCACCUGGAACUGAAUCAGCUGACACCUUAAUCUUGGACUUUGAGCCUCCAGAACUGUGAGAAAACAGGCGAUCCAAAGCCAGGCGUGAAGUUUAGGAAACCAGGACCUCUGCCUUGGCUUCCUCCUUCUGUCACCUCCAGGAGCUUGCUGCAGGCACUAGGAAUAUGACUGAGAAGGCCCUCUGAUUCGGAGCUUAGUGGCACAUGAGAUGACAGAUCUAAAAUGACCGUGCUACCAACACCACAAGGCUUUGGUUUUUUGGCCACAAGGCAAGUGGGAUCUUAGUGCCCAGACCAGGGAUCGAACCUGCGCCCCCUUCAUUGGAAGGUGAAGUCUUAACCACUGGACCACCAGGGAAGUCCUCUAGACCAUGUUCUUUGACAUAAUUCUACUGUGGCCUUAGGUGUUAAUUCCAAGCUCGCUUCCUAGUAAUUCACCAGCAUGCUAUUCUCCAGCUCAGGAUCCACUUCCAAGGGAACCCAGCUUGCAACCGUUGGUGCCACAAGUGGUCAAGAAAGCAGAUGCUGGAGUGAGAUUUUAGAGCUGGAUCACUUGCUGCCCAGUUGCCAAUAAAGAGUCCAUCACCAGCAGAAGGUAAACAGUUAAGUCCUGGCACAGAUAACAACAUAGCAGUGCCACAGUUAAAAGUUUCACUGGCAGUGAAUUAGAAUUGCAUGCUGGUGGAAAAGAAUGCAGGUGCUGAGAAAUACUGGGGCAGUAUUAACUAUAAGAAGAUGGAACUGUGUGUCUAUUGUUAUCUGAUGUUCUGGAAAAAGAUAAUAAGCAAAUGAUUAAUCAGCAAUUAAAAGCUAAGUGUGAAACCUAGAGGGCCUUCAUGGUAGCAUAUAAAUAGGCUUUCAUCUCUUUCUGGCGAUGGUAAAGGGAGGCAGCACUAGGGUGACCAACUAUCCUAGUUUGUUUGGGACUCAGGGGGUUCCCAUUAUGUGGGGCAUUCAGUUUUCAAACCAGGAAAGCCCAGGAAGACCGAGAUAAGUUGGUCAUCCUAAGUGAUAAAGAAAAACGGACCAGGCCCAGUGAUGCACUGGCAGAAAUGAUUGCCAGUCUUCAAGAUCUAAAGAUGCAAGAUAUUUCCCAUCAUAUUCCCAUUGAAUUCAUCAGACUGACACCUGAGAAAU